CCAUGUAUUUAAUGUUUCUUCAUUGCCAGGCUGCUAUGGGUUUCGUAUGAAUAAUAGGGCUGCACUUGGAAUCUUACUAGUGAGAGUUGUUCCUGAGAAUUCAUCAGUUCUUUAAUGGUAGUGUCCUGUCUUGUGUGUGAGCUCACUUGUGGGCAGAGUGACAUGUUUUUUCCAUUUCUCCAUUCACAUGGACUUUGGAUGUGCCACAGACUGUUAACAGCAUUCAUGGUCUUUGUGACCAGUGGAAUCCAUUCUUGCUUCCAGCUCCAGCCCCCUUAAUUCCUGAGAAUACAGCUGCUGAGAGCUUGUGCUGCCGAAAGAGGUAAGCCUUGGGCUGCCUAGUGUAAGGGAGACUCUCUUAACACUGCAUCCUGGAGAAGCCUGAGGGAUCUGACUUCUGGAGAGCUGACCUGGAUGCCUGGACCACCAACUGAACUGUCACUUCUCCCACAGGCAAGUCCCAACAUAAGUCACUUCCAGCAGGGUUUCAGUGCUUCCUUAUCGACUGCAGCUGCCCUUGAGCUGUGCUGGUGGUGCCUUUGUGUCCAGUUUCAAGUGAAAGGGACUUAACCACAGUGCAGGCAGCUUUGUUUAUCUGGACGUCCAAUUAUUGGGAUGCUCUCCUAGGAAUAGUGUGGGACUCAGAAAUGCUCCUCUUUAUUUGCAUGUCAGCAUAAAGUGCAGUCAGUUUCCAGUGAUAAUGUUAUUACAGAGCAAGGCCGAGAGAGUUGUAGCUCUGCCCAGGAUUUGUCUGGUGUCUCAUGACUGAAACACUCCAUAAUGUUGCUGGUUUCAGUGGAACUCCCUUGUGAAUGUAGAUGAGUCAUUAAGCUAUUAAUUAAUUGUCCUUUUUGCAUUAGAAAUGCCACAAGCUGUUGAAGUUUUCUUCCUUAUUCUUCGGUGUUGCUGUUUUGCUUUUUUUAAAAGCAUAUGCUUGUCUUGGGUUUGUUUUUUUUUCACUGAAAAAUUUUUCACUGGGUUUUUGGGUUUUUUUUGCCUGCAUAGUACUGUAAGGGAUAUUCCAGGCUGAGAAGAUGGGGCAGGUGAAGCUGUGGUAAAAAUUUAUCUAUUCCAGGAACCUUCUGUCACAUUUAAUUAAUAAUAACCAAACCUGUAUCUGGUAAACACUUGCUAAGAAAGCUGACAUUUAAAUCAAGGACUGUAACAAGUGAAAGGUCUGUGAAAUAAGGAGUAGUCUCCAGUGCUUACUGUGGGGACAUGCAUUGGUGGUAAAGAGUAUGGAAACAGGAGUUAAAGCUAGCAUAGUGUGUAUCAUCUUCCUUUGAUAAAAGCAUAGUGUUCUUUGAAGCUGUGUACAAGUGGAUCUAAUUUCUUGCAUAAUUGCCCAUAUCAGGAAUUUAACAUAGUCCUGUUACUGCAGUUGAGGUUAACAUCCCACUGUGGUGCAUUUUAAUGUGAACUGGGUCCUUUGCAGCUUCUUGCCAGGUUUAUUUACUGCAGUGGCUCAUCUUCAAAAGCAGCUGAAAUUUAUUCCUUGUGAACAUAGAUGUUGCUGGAGUACAACAGCCAGUCUGGAACUGGUUUGUUUCACUCCUCAUUUUGAGUGGAUAGAGUUUCUUUGUAUAUUUAAAAAAAAAUAUUUUGGAUGCCACAUGUUAUAGAUCUUAUGAUCCUAUCCUAGAGCUGCAAGUUUGGGACAGGUGGGUUUGUUAACAGUUACCUAAGGUUAAAUCCCUAAGAACUGAGCCCUGCUGACUGGGAGACUGAACACCAGAUACACCAGACAAGCAGUGAACAUGACUGCUGGUUAACUCAAUCUUGAGUUUGUAGUGUGAACUAAAGGGAGCAGUCUGCACUCAAUACAUACAGGAGAUAAUGCAAUAUAACUAGUAAAAGGGAGGUGUGGACUGUCAGGAUGGAUACAGUGAAAGGCUUCUAUGUUUUGGGUAGAAAUAAAAGAAGGCAUUAAAAUACCCUGCCUGCUACUAGUACUUGGGUUGAAUGUUGCAUUCUAUCAGUCCUGGUGUUCUACUUACAACCAUUAGACCACCCUCCAGUAUUAAGGUUUAUUUUGUGAUGACUGACCUCAUACCUCCAGCUACCUGCCACACUGCCUGCUCUUCCAGCUCAGUCACUGUAUUGCUUCUCUCUCACAUUAUGCAUCUGAUGCUGCUGUUUUAAAUGGCCAUCUUAUUCCUUAAAGAAUCACUUGUGACCUCUGAUAAUGAAUUCAAGGCAGAGGUGGGAAAAAAAGAUGGGGAUGAUGAUCAUGCCUGCAGGUGGCAGGCAGCUGCUGCUGAACAUGCAGGUACCUGCCUCAUGCCAGCACAGUAAGGAAUCCAGGGCAGCUGGAGAGCCUGGGAAGUAGGAAAAAGGUUUUGAAAAAACUGAAUGAACUGAUCCAUGUGAGUUACCUGCUGCUGGGCUCGCAGGUGAAAUUCAGGCUGAAUCUGGUCAAACAGUUUUCUGUGUGCAGGCUCUGCAUGGCUCAGGGUGUUAAAAAUGCUAUGCAGAACUUCUUGAAAGACAUGGAAGGGAAGUCAGCCCUGGUAGCAAAUUACCAGAACUUACAGCUUCAUUCUAAGGCUUUUUUCUUGGCAGAAUUAAGGAACUUGGGAUGAUAGGUUGUUUGCAGUAUUCUUCCUGUCCCCUCAUCUCCCUGUAAGAACUAACAACAAAAAAUCAGCUGGUGUCAUGAGAAAUGUUACAAGGGAGGUAAGUGUACACUGUCCAGGAAAGGUUAAAGAUAGAUCCUCACCCUCCUC
rnacentral:lncRNA from 1 species